GACGAACGCUGGCGGCGUGCCUAACACAUGCAAGUCGAGCGGGGAUAUAUGCUGGAGCGCUUCGGUGUGAAGGGAUAUAUCCUAGCGGCGGACGGGUGAGUAACGCGUGGGGAACCUGCCCUUAAGUUCGGGAUACCAACCCGAAAGGGUUGUUAAUACCGGAUGUGCUGCAUUAGCCGCAUGGCGGAUGUAGUAAAGGGGAGACCCGCUUAAGGAUGGCCCUGCGUUCCAUUAGCUAGUUGGUGGGGUAACGGCCUACCAAGGCGACGAUGGAUAGCCGGCCUGAGAGGGCGACCGGCCACACUGGGACUGAGACACGGCCCAGACUCCUACGGGGGGCAGCAGUGGGGAAUCUUGCACAAUGGGCGGAAGCCUGAUGCAGCGACGCCGCGUGAGGGACGAAGGUCUUCGGAUCGUAAACCUCUGUCCAAAGGGACGAAGGAGUGACGGUACCUUUGGAGGAAGCCCCGGCCAACUACGUGCCAGCAGCCGCGGUAAGACGUAGGGGGCGAGCGUUGUCCGGAAUCAUUGGGCGUAAAGGGCGCGUAGGCGGUGACGUAAGUCAGGCGUGAAAGGCAUCGGCUCAACCGACGCACAUAGCCUGAUACUACGUUGCUAGAGUGCAGGAGAGGAGAGUGGAAUUCCAGGUGUAGCGGUGAAAUGCGUAGAUAUCUGGAAGAACACCAGUGGCGAAGGCGGCUCUCUGGACUGUAACUGACGCUAAGGCGCGAAAGCUGGGGGAGCAAACAGG
rnacentral:rRNA from 1 species